GACGAACCGAGCGAACGUUGUUCGGAAUCACUGGGCUUAAAGCGCGUGUAGGCGGUUUGUUAAGUCUGUUGUGAAAGCCCUGGGCUCAACCCAGGAAGUGCACUGGAUACUGGCAGACUUGAAUACGGGAGAGGGUAGUGGAAUUCCUGGUGUAGGAGUGAAAUCCGUAGAUAUCAGGAGGAACACCGGUGGCGAAGGCGGCUACCUGGACCGAUAUUGACGCUGAGACGCGAAAGCGUGGGUAGCAAACAGG
rnacentral:rRNA from 1 species